UACAGAGGGCGCGAGCGUUGUCCGGAAUCACUGGGCGUAAAGGGCGCGUAGGUGGCCACCAUAAGGCCGCGGUGAAAGUUCGGGGCUCAACCCCGGAUCGGCCGCGGCGACUGUGGGGCUCGGGUACUGUAGAGGCAGAUGGAAUUCCGGGUGUAGCGGUGGAAUGCGUAGAGAUCCGGAAGAACACCAGUGGCGAAGGCGGCUCUCUGGAACGGUACUGACGCUGAGACGCGAAAGCGUGGGGAGCGAACAGG
rnacentral:rRNA from 1 species